rnacentral:lncRNA from 1 species
AAAAAAUACACGCACCUUUGACAUGGAUCUCACCUGAUCCAGAAACCCAUGCUCAUUUAUCGAAUUAAAUUGUUACAGAGCACAUCGGGAACUUAAGCCUUUCAAAUGAAUCCAUUUUCACGUACUCGAGUCAUAUAACAGAACAAAUUCCAGCUAAACCGCAUUGUUAAAGGAAAGGCUGGCGCCCGGUACUCAAAAGCUCAUUCGCACAGUCCGGGGUCCUGGCGGAGCGGUGCAAAAGUGAUACAGAGCAACGCUGUUGUUAGGUGGCAAGGCGGAAGAAAGGAAGCAAGUUCUAGAAACAGCACAAAACCCUUGUCUUUGGAUUGACAGAAGAGAACCUCAGCAUAGCUCCUGAACAAAGACAGGGUCUUUAACAAGUCCGUGCCCCCCCCCCCAAGGAAUGAGAUGCUAUCAUAUAAGAAAAGGGUGCGCUUCUACGGAGAGCUGGACAGAAGGGCGCAGGUGCAGAUCUCACCUUUAGUUCAACAACAGCUCAAUACUGGUAUACUGUACUUGUUGAGGUCUUCUCGUUAUGCAAGCAGAAGACUUGCAAGAUAAUCUAACUUGGAUGUAACAACUUUUAUU